GAUGAACGCUAGCGAUAGGCCUAACACAUGCAAGUCGAGGGGCAUCACAUGAAGUAGCAAUACGGAUGGUGGCGACCGGCGCACGGGUGAGUAACACGUAUGCAACCUGCCUUCAACAAGGGGAUAACCCGUUGAAAGACGGACUAAUACCCUAUAACACAGGGGUCCCGCAUGGGAAUAUUUGUUAAAGGACAACCGGUUGAAGAUGGGCAUGCGUUCCAUUAGCUAGUUGGCGGGGUAACGGCCCACCAAGGCAACGAUGGAUAGGGGAACUGAGAGGUUUAUCCCCCACACUGGUACUGAGACACGGACCAGACUCCUACGGGAGGCAGCAGUGAGGAAUAUUGGUCAAUGGACGCAAGUCUGAACCAGCCACGUCGCGUGAAGGAAGACUGCCUUAUGGGUUGUAAACUUCUUUUAUACAGGAAUAAAAGGCUUACGUGUAGGCCAUUGCAAGUACUGUAUGAAUAAGCAUCGGCUAACUCCGUGCCAGCAGCCGC
rnacentral:rRNA from 1 species